GACCUAUUAGCUUAGUUGGUUAGAGCAUCGUGCUAAUAACACGAAAGUCACAUGUUCGAUUGCCAAUCCGUAUGAGGCUUA
rnacentral:tRNA from 1 species